GCUAGGUGUGGUGGUGCAUGCCUGUAAUCCCAGACAUAGGAGGCUGAGGUAGGAGGAUCGCAAGUUCAAAGCCAGCCUCAGCAACUUAGUGAGGCCCUAAACAAUUUAGCAAGACUUUGUCUCAA
rnacentral:sRNA from 1 species